rnacentral:misc_RNA from 1 species
AAAACUUGUUCGGUUAAAUGUUGCAUUUUAUGAUUUUUUCACUUUUCUCGCCCUUGUAAAAAACAACAAUAAAAAAACAAGAGAACGUGGAUUAUCGUUUUAGUUUUUCUUAGCAUGUGCAGUGUUAUGCCCAUGAGCCCAUUCCACCCAUUAUACACCACAGUUAUUUCAUUUAAAUGAUUUUUAAUUGAACUUUUCUAAACUUAUUUAUAUUAUUUAAUAGUUAUAGUAAUAAGGUUAUUUUGAAUGCAUUAAAUUCAAUACUAAUUUCUGAUUAAGCUGUGAUGAAAAUCAUGAAUAUAAUUCAUUUAUUAUAAUUUUUUAUUAUUCCUUUAUUU